UACGGAGGGUGCGAGCGUUGUCCGGAAUCACUGGGCGUAAAGCGCGCGUAGGCGGCUUUGUAAGUCAGAGGUGAAAGCCUGGAGCUCAACUCCAGAACUGCCUUUGAGACUGCAUCGCUAGAAUCAUGGAGAGGUAAGUGGAAUUCCGAGUGUAGAGGUGAAAUUCGUAGAUAUUCGGAAGAACACCAGUGGCGAAGGCGACUUACUGGACAUGUAUUGACGCUGAGGUGCGAAAGCGUGGGGAGCAAACAGG
rnacentral:rRNA from 1 species